rnacentral:rRNA from 1 species
GUCUUUUUGAAAUAAUUUAAAGUCUAAUCUGCCCACUGAUAAAAAAUUAAAGGGCUGCAGUAUAAUGACUGUACAAAGGUAGCAUAAUCAAUAGUUUUUUAAUUGAAAACUUGUAUGAAAGAUUUGAUGAAAUAUGGACUGUCUCUAAUUUAUAGAUUGAAUUUUAUUUUUUAGUAAAAAAGCUAAAAUAAAUUUAAAAGACGAGAAGACCCUAUAGAGUUUUAUAUUUAAUUUUAUUUUUAAAUUAUAUAAAAAUUAAUAUUAAAAAUAAAAUUAAAUAUUAUAUUGGGGUGAUAGAAAAAUUAAAUUAACUUUUUUUAAAAAUUAAACAUAAAUAAAUGAUUAUAUGAUCCAUAAAUAAUGAUUAUAAGAAAAAAUUACCUUAGGGAUAACAGCGUAAUAUUUUUUUUUAGUUCAAAUAAAAAAAAAAGUUUGCGACCUCGAUGUUGGAUUAAGAUAAAAUUUAAAUGCAAAAGUUUAAAAAUUUUGAUCUGUUCGAUCAUUAAAAUCUUACA